rnacentral:rRNA from 1 species
UACGAAGGGGGCUAGCGUUGCUCGGAAUCACUGGGCUUAAAGGGCGCGUAGGCGGGCUGCCAAGUCAGGGGUGAAAUCCCACGGCUCAACCGUGGAAGUGCCUCUGAUACUGGCGGCCUCGAGGGAGGUAGGGGCGUGCGGAACUUCCGGUGGAGCGGUGAAAUGCGUAGAUAUCGGAAGGAACACCGGUGGCGAAAGCGGCGCGCUGGACCUCUACUGACGCUGAGGCGCGAAAGCCAGGGGAGCAAACGGG